rnacentral:rRNA from 1 species
GACGUAGGGUGCAAGCGUUGUCCGGAAUUAUUGGGCGUAAAGAGCUCGUAGGCGGUCUGUUGCGUCGGCUGUGAAAACCCGGGGCUCAACCCCGGGCCUGCAGUCGAUACGGGCAGACUAGAGUGCGGUAGGGGAGACUGGAAUUCCUGGUGUAGCGGUGAAAUGCGCAGAUAUCAGGAGGAACACCGGUGGCGAAGGCGGGUCUCUGGGCCGUAACUGACGCUGAGGAGCGAAAGCGUGGGGAGCGAACAGG